ACGCUGGCCGCGUGCCUAACACAUGCAAGUCGAACGAGAAAGUGGAGCAAUCCAUGAGUACAGUGGCCACCGGGUGAGUAACACGUGACCAACCUGCCCUCGAGUGGGGAAUAACUCCGGGAAACCGGAGCUAAUACCGCAUAACAUCUUUGGAACGCGAGUUCCGUUGAUCAAAGGAGCAAUCCGCUUGAGGAGGGGGUCGCGGCUGAUUAGCUAGUUGGUAGGGUAAUGGCCUACCAAGGCUGAGAUCGGUAUCCGGCCUGAGAGGGCGCACGGACACACUGGAACUGAAACACGGUCCAGACUCCUACGGGAGGCAGCAGUGGG
rnacentral:rRNA from 1 species